rnacentral:tRNA from 1 species
UAGCUCAGCUGGUUAGAGCGCACGCCUGAUAAGCGUGAGGUCGGUGGUUCGAGUCC